rnacentral:tRNA from 1 species
AUCUAGAUAGCUUAUAUUAGAGUAUAACACUGAAGAUGUUAAGGAAAUUAUUAUAUUUCUAGGUA